rnacentral:rRNA from 1 species
UACGUAGGGGGCUAGCGUUGUCCGGAAUCAUUGGGCGUAAAGAGCGCGUAGGCGGCCCGGUAAGUCUGCUGUGAAAGUCCAGGGCUCAACCCUGGAAUGCCGGUGGAUACUGUCGGGCUAGAGUUCCGGAAGAGGCAAGUGGAAUUCCUGGUGUAGCGGUGGAAUGCGCAGAUAUCAGGAGGAACACCUAUAGCGAAGGCAGCUU